AGAGUUUGAUCAUGGCUCAGAAUCAACGCUGGCGGCGUGCCUCAGACAUGCAAGUCGAACGCGAAAGUUCCCUUCGGGGAGCGAGUAGAGUGGCGCACGGGUGAGUAACACGUAGGUAAUCUACCUUUGGAUGGGGAAUAACAACCGGAAACGGUUGCUAAUACCGCAUAAUGCAGCGGCACCUAAUGGUGACAGUUGUUAAAGCGGGGGAUCGAAAGACCUCGCGUCUGAAGAGGAGCCUGCGGCGGAUUAGCUAGUUGGUAAGGUAAUGGCUUACCAAGGCGAUGAUCCGUAACCGGCCUGAGAGGGCGGUCGGUCACACUGACACUGACAUACGGGUCAGACUCCUACGGGAGGCAGCAGUCGGGAAUUUUGGGCAAUGGGCGAAAGCCUGACCCAGCAACGCCGCGUGAAGGAUGAAAUCCCUCGGGAUGUAAACUUCGCAAGAACAGGAAGAAUAAGUAAGGGUUAAUAUCUCUUACGAUGACGGUACUGUUUGUAAGCUCCGGCUAACUCCGUGCCAGCAGCCGCGGUA
rnacentral:rRNA from 1 species